rnacentral:tRNA from 1 species
GCUUGGCUAGCUCAGUUGGUAGAGGCAUGGGACUCUUAAUCCCAGAGUCAGUGGGUUCAAGCCCUACAUUGAGUG